CGUGCAGGCGGCCUAUUAAGUCAGAUGUGAAAGCCCUCGGCUCAACCAAGGAACUGCAUUUGAAACUAGUAGGCUUGAGUACGGGAGAGGAGAGUGGAAUUCCCGGUGUAGAGGUGAAAUUCGUAGAUAUCGGGAAGAACACCGGUGGCGAAGGCGGCUCUCUGGACCGAUACUGACGCUGAGACGCGAAAGCGUGGGGAGCAAACAGGAUUAGAUACCCUGGUAUCC
rnacentral:rRNA from 1 species